AAGGGGGAGUUUCCCUGCACAAGCUGCCUUCUCCUGUCUGCCACCACGUGAGAUGUGCCUUUCACCUUCCACUAUGAUUGUGAGGCCUCACCAGCCAUGUGGAACUAGUUCAAGAUUUCAACAUUUUAAGAUAAUCUGAAAAAAAUUGGAAUGUGCCCCCAGCUGCGCUACUGGUGACUUCUUCAACAGUUGAGAAACUGAACUAUGUGUUCAUGAAAAUACUCCAUCAUUAAAGUUUAUGCAAUACUCUCUCAACACUGUUUAUCAAAGGAACCAAUAUGGAAGGAAAAACAUUGCUUUGAAGGGAAGAUGGAUGGAUCCCCUAGUAAACUACAGCUUGAGGUGCAAUUUCCUAAAGUUCAAAUGCCUGAAAAAGGAAACGAAAGAAAGAAACUCAACUCUUGAGACAGCUUCAAUGCUAGCUUUGAUCUCAAUUAUAGAGUUAUUUAUGAAAAGUGCAUUUUUACAACUAAAAAUAAAUUAGGAUCAAAAGCUUCUAGAGGCUAUACUAUGGAGUGCUUAAUAAAAAGUUGAGUAAAGAGUAAUGAA
rnacentral:lncRNA from 1 species